UGGGGAAUUUUUCGCAAUGGGGGAAACCCUGACGAAGCAACGCCGCGUGGAGGAUGAAGGCCUUCGGGUCGUAAACUCCUGUCGACCGGGACGAAUGCACACGACCUAAUACGUCGGCGUGUUGACUGUACCGGUGGAGGAAGCCACGGCUAACUCUGUGCCAGCAGCCGCGGUAAGACAGAGGUGGCAAGCGUUGUUCGGAAUUACUGGGCGUAAAGGGCGCGUAGGCGGUUCGUCAAGUCCCGUGUGAAAGCCCCCGGCUCAACUGGGGAACGGCGCGGGAAACUAGCGGGCUUGAGUUCGGGAGAGGGAAGCGGAAUUCCGGGUGUAGCGGUGAAAUGCGCAGAUAUCCGGAGGAACACCGGUGGCGAAGGCGGCUUCCUGGACCGACACUGACGCUGAUGCGCGAAAGCUAGGGGAGCAA
rnacentral:rRNA from 1 species